CCUACGGGAGGCAGCAGUGAGGAAUAUUGGUCAAUGGGCGCAAGCCUGAACCAGCCAUUCCGCGUGCAGGAAGACGGCCCUAUGGGUUGUUAACUGCUUUUCCAGGGGGCGAAAAGCUCCGACGUGUCGGGGUAGACGUAACUGUAAGA
rnacentral:rRNA from 1 species